CCUAGCUUUCUCCCUUUUAACACUUUCAAUUUCAAGAUGGCGGCAGACGCUAGGCAGUUUGUUAACCCAGAGCAGCCAGGCUAUGUGGGAUUUGCCAACCUCCCCAAUCAAGUUCACAGAAAGUCUGUGAAGAAGGGUUUUGAGUUUACACUCAUGGUAGUAGGUGAGUAGCCAGGUUAUUAUGUUAUU